UACGGAGGGGGCUAGCGUUGUUCGGAAUUACUGGGCGUAAAGCGUGCGCAGGCGGUUAUGCAAGACAGAGGUGAAAUCCCCGGGCUCAACCUGGGAACUGCCUUUGUGACUGCAUAGCUAGAGUACGGUAGAGGGGGAUGGAAUUCCGCGUGUAGCAGUGAAAUGCGUAGAUAUGCGGAGGAACACCGAUGGCGAAGGCAAUCCCCUGGACCCGUACUGACGCUCAUGCACGAAAGCUAGGGGAGCAAAACGGG
rnacentral:rRNA from 1 species